AUCAAAAGUGUAAAGGAAAAAAGACACUUUUUAUUUCAACCGUACUUCCCGUCAAAAGCCUAAAGACUGAUCGCACAGUUCCUGUCUUCACAAUAAAAGUGCCGCUCCAUCGCGCCUGCGCGAACAAAAUAAGAGUCUCCGAAAGCCAGCGCAACCAAGCUAGCAAGCCACGGAGUUUGCCGCCAAUGUAUUUCUUGUAAAGUGUAUAAAAACGAAUAUGGAAGCUGGACAGAUAAGAUGCCAAAAACCAACGACUUUCAUGUGGUGUUAGACGGAAAAGAGGAACUUUUUUUCUCCUCCAUUUGAAAACGUGAACGUCUGAUUCCAAUCAUUGCAAGUCAUCAGAAUCAGAGUUUGGGUUCCUGGCUUGCUAGUCCGGCACAACUGGCGCUGAUCAGCUCACUCACCUCCCUGCCAUCAGCUAAUCACCUCCGCUCCACAAAAGCCCUGGUCUCCUCACACGACGCUGCCAGAUCGUUUCACAGCUCGCCAAGUGUGCCUACCUCCUCCAAGCCUGCCAAACACCUCCACUCCAGCUGACGACGCCUUUCCCUAAUCCCUUGUUUUCCUAAAUUAAACCCUUUGGAAUUUAAA